rnacentral:rRNA from 1 species
AGAGUUUGAUCCUGGCUCAGAAUAAACAUUGGCGGCGCGCCUAACACAUGCAAGCCGAACGAGAAAUCUCGAGCUUGCUCGAGAAAGUAAAGUGGCGAACGGGUGAGUAACGUGUGGGUAACCUGUCCUUAAAUCCGGAAUAAUCCACCGAAAGGUGGCCUAAUACCAGAUAAUGUCUUUUAGGCUAAGGCCUGGAAGUCUAAAGCUGACCUAUUCAUGAAAGUUGGCGUUUAAGGAGGGGCCUGCAUACCAUUAGCUUGUUGGUAGGGUAAAAGCCUACCAAGGCUUCGAUGGUUAGCUGAUCUGAGAAGAUGACCAGCCACACUGGAACUGAAACACGGUCCAGACUCCUACGGGAGGCAGCAGUGAGGAAUCUUGCGCAAUGGGGGAAACCCUGACGCAGCGACGCCGCGUGAGUGAAGAAGGCCUUCGGGUCGUAAAGCUCUGUCAAGCGGGAAUAAAGUUAUAUAUUUAAUAGAUAUAUAAUCUGAAGGUACCGCUAAAGGAAGCACCGGCUAACUCCGUGCCAGCAGCCGCGGUAAUACGGAGGGUGCAAACGUUAUUCGGAUUUAUUGGGCGUAAAGAGCGUGUAGGCGGUUGGGGUAGUCAUGUGUGAAAUCCUUCUGCUCA